rnacentral:rRNA from 1 species
UGUAUAGGGCGUGUAGGCAAAUCCGCAUGCUUUGCUGAGGACUGAAAGUACGAGGAGGCUUCGGUCGAAUUGAGUGAACGUAAUCAGACUUCCAAGAAAACCCUCUAAGCAUAUUGUAAUGGUACCCGUACCGCAAACCGACACAGGUAGUCAAGGAGAGAAUCCUGAGGUGCUCGAGUGAAUCAUGGCUAAGGAACUCGGCAAAUUAACCCUGUAACUUCGGAAGAAGGGGUGCCUCCUCUAGCUUGCUAGAGAGGUCGCAGAGAAAUGGCCCAGGCGACUGUUUAACAAAAACACAUGGCUAUGCGAAAUCGAAAGAUGAUGUAUAUGGCCUGACACCUGCCCGGUGCUGGAAGGUUAAGGGGGGGAGUUAGCAGCAAUGCGACGCUCUGAACUGAAGCCCCAGUAAACGGCGGCCGUAACUAUAACGGUCCUAAGGUAGCGAAAUUCCUUGUCGGGUAAGUUCCGACCUGCACGAAUGGUGUAACGAUCUGGGCGCUGUCUCGGCCAUGAGCUCGGUGAAAUUGUAGUCACGGUGAAGAUGCCGUGUACCCGUCACGGGACGGAAAGACCCCGUGCACCUUUACUAUAGCUUCACAUUGACAUUGGGUAACUGAUGUGUAGGAUAGGCGGGAGGCUUUGAUCCUGUGCCGCUAGGUAUAGGGGAGUCAACGGUGAAAUACCGCCCUUUAUUUUCUUGAUGUCUAAUCCCGCUAAGCGGGAGACAGUGUGUGGUGGGUAGUUUGACUGGGGUGGUCGCCUCCGAAAGUGUAUCGGAGGCUUUCAAAGGUAUGCUCAGUACGCUUGUAACCGUACGUGGAGAGCAAUAGCAUAAGCAUGCUUGACUGUGAGACUGACAAGUCGAGCAGGGACGAAAGUUGGAUAACAGGCUGAUCUCCCCCAAGAGCUCAUAUCGACGGGGAGGUUUGGCACCUCGAUGUCGGCUCGUCACAUCUUGGGCUGGAGAAGGUCCCAAGGGUUGGGCUGUUCGCCCAUUAAAGUGGCACGCGAGCUGGGUUCAGAACGUCGUGAGACAGUUCGGUCCCUAUCUGUGAUGGGCGUAGGAAAUUUGAGAGGAUCUGACCUUAGUACGAGAGGACCGGGUUGGACUAACCGCUGGUGUACCGGUUGUGGUGUCAGCUGCAUCGCCGGGUAGCUACGUUGGGACGGGAUAAGCGCUGAAAGCAUCUAAGCGCGAAACCCACCUCAAGAUGAGAUUUCCAUUAAGGGACGUCAGAGACUAUGACGUUGAUAGGCUGCAGGUGUAAAGACAGAAAUGUCAAAGCUGAGCAGUACUAAUUACCC